rnacentral:rRNA from 1 species
UAACCUGCCCAAGAGAUCGGGAUAACACCUGGAAACAGAUGCUAAUACCGGAUAACAACAGAUGAUGCCUAUCAACUGUUUAAAAGAUGGUUCUGCUAUCGCUCUUGGAUGGACCUGCGGUGCAUUAGCUAGUUGGUAGGGUAACGGCCUACCAAGGCGAUGAUGCAUAGCCGAGUUGAGAGACUGAUCGGCCACAUUGGGACUGAGACACGGCCCAAACUCCUACGGGAGGCAGCAGAC